rnacentral:rRNA from 1 species
AAAAAGGUGUACCCCGGGUCUACCACCGGAGAUGUUCAUAACCCUUUGUUGUCCGACUCUGUUGCCUCCGGGGCGACCCUGCCUUCGGGCGGGGGCUCCGGGUGGACACUUCAAACUCUUGCGUAACUUUGCAGUCUGAGUAAACUUAAUUAAUAAAUUAAAACUUUUAACAACGGAUCUCUUGGUUCUGGCAUCGAUGAAGAACGCAGCGAAAUGCGAUAAGUAAUGUGAAUUGCAGAAUUCAGUGAAUCAUCGAAUCUUUGAACGCACAUUGCGCCCCCUGGUAUUCCGGGGGGCAUGCCUGUUCGAGCGUCAUUUCACCACUCAAGCCUCGCUUGGUAUUGGGCAACGCGGUCCGCCGCGUGCCUCAAAUCGACCGGCUGGGUCUUCUGUCCCCUAAGCGUUGUGGAAACUAUUCGCUAAAGGGUGUUCGGGAGGCUACGCCGUAAAACAACCCCAUUUCUAAGGUUGACCUCGGAUCAGGUAGGGAUACCCGCUGAACUUAAGCAUAUCAUAAGCGGGAGGAAAU